AUUACAGGACAAUAGGCGUUACAAAGUAAGUAUUGCCCAUUACUUCCUUGAUAAACCGUUUAAUGUCGUGUGAUUACUAGUGUAGCUUAAUUAUUUAAUCUACGGAGAAAAUGCCAUUGAUUGAUUUCUUUUUAAUGACUGUAUUGGUACACUUUUUGCAUAAGAUGUCGUGAGAAUUCAUGAUUAGACUACAGGUAGUGUAGAGGGGGAUGAUUUAGCUCAUGACUCUGAGUUAAUAUCAAAUGGAAUCUUAGAGUUUUUUUUCCACUUGAUAUCAACUCAGAAUCAUGGUCUGAAUCAUCCCUCAGAGCUUUCGUUACGGUGUCACUAGCACCCUGUAUGUAAGAAUGGCGAAAUAUGAAGCAAAGAGAGGUUACAAGGGGUGUAUUUUUUGGAGUUAGGUAAGAGAGGCUAGAUAAAAGUGCAUUUUAUGGUUGACAGGAGAAUUCAGGCCAUGAUUUAUAA